UGGGGAAUUUUGGACAAUGGGCGAAAGCCUGAUCCAGCAAUGCCGCGUGUGUGAAGAAGGCCUUCGGGUUGUAAAGCACUUUUGUCCGGAAAGAAAUCCUUGGCUCUAAUACAGUCGGGGGAUGACGGUACCGGAAGAAUAAGCACCGGCUAACUACGUGCCAGCAGCCGCGGUAAUACGUAGGGUGCAAGCGUUAAUCGGAAUUACUGGGCGUAAAGCGUGCGCAGGCGGUUUGCUAAGACCGAUGUGAAAUCCCCGGGCUCAACCUGGGAACUGCAUUGGUGACUGGCAGGCUAGAGUAUGGCAGAGGGGGGUAGAAUUCCACGUGUAGCAGUGAAAUGCGUAGAGAUGUGGAGGAAUACCGAUGGCGAAGGCAGCCCCCUGGGCCAAUACUGACGCUCAUGCACGAAAGCGUGGGGAGCAAACAGGAUUAGAUACCCUGGUAGUCCACGCCCUAAACGAUGUCAACUAGUUGUUGGGGAUUCAUUUCCUUAGUAACGUAGCUAACGCGUGAAGUUGACCGCCUGGGGAGUACGGUCGCAAGAUUAAAACUUAAAGGAAUUGACGGGGUCAUAGCUGUUUCCGU
rnacentral:rRNA from 1 species